rnacentral:rRNA from 1 species
AUAUCAGUCAUGCAUAGCAUAUCAAUAAGCGGAGGAAAAGAAACUAACUAGGAUUCCCUCAGUAACGGCGAGUGAAGCGGGAAGAGCUCAAAUUUGAAAUCUUCAAGGUUCUACCUUGACGAAUUGUAGUUUAUAGAAGUGUUUUCUGUAGUGGAGUUCGGUAAAAGUUCUUUGGAAUAGGACAUCAUAGAGGGUGAGAAUCCCGUAUUUGGUCAUUCCUCCUAGCGUUGUGAUACACUUUCAACGAGUCGGAUUGUUUGGGAAUGCAGUCCAAAAUGGGUGGUAAAUUUCAUCUAAAGCUAAAUAUUGGCGAGAGACCGAUAGCGAACAAGUACCGUGAGGGAAAGAUGAAAAGAACUUUGAAAAGAGAGUUAAACAGUACGUGAAAUUGUCAAAAGGGAAGCGUUUGACACCAGUGUUGUUUUUCCGAAAAUCAAUUACGAAUGUUUUAUUUUUGAGAAGUUAUGACUUCAUCGGCUUGCUUCUCUCUUUAUGAAACUUUCUUAAUGCACUUUUCGGUUAACAAGUCAACAUCAAUUUCUUUUGUUGUAAAAGGGUAUGAGGAAGGUGGCUUUCUUUUCGGAGAAAGUGUUUAUAGCCUUGUACCUCUGCAAUCGGAGAGAUUGAGGUCUGCAGCGUAGAUCCUUCGGGGUUAGAUACAUUUGUGCUAAGUUAUAGCUUUUCAUAGACAACUUGUUGACUAUGUUAGUCAUUGUAGCUUACUCGCUGAUGCUAUUUUACCUACGCUUAGGAUGUUGAUCUCUCACAGUCGAGC